CCCCUGUUUUUUUGGCAUGUUUCAACUUCAUCCUUAUAAAAGAACAAAAAUUCCCAUUUGUUUUUUGUUCUGCAUUUCAUGGAAGGAGCUUGCACGCGUCUGCUGCCUCAAAUUUUUGUCCUCUCUUGCCUCUUCUCACGUCUGCUACUGGCUCUUUUUCUUUUGCAUUUUAGUUGGUUUACAAAAGAGAGAGAGAGAGAGAGAGAGAGAGAGAGAGAGAGAUCAACCACUUUUCCAUGAGAGAAUUUAUCAGAAGAGAUGGGUGAUAGGAGUUUCAAAGCCUGGGUGAAAUCCUUUGAAGCUUUUCUGGAAGGAGAUUCAGUCUCAUAUUCCUCUGCAUCAGAAAUUGGGCUACCUUACAUGAGGGUGCAUAUAGAAAAGGGUGAUGAGAUCAUGAGAGCAGCUUAUCCAUGAUGCCAACUUUUAGUUGACAAAAAGAUGAGAUGGAAACGGCAUCGUUUGGGAGGGAAGCAAUGGAGGAGGAAGUCUAACAAGGUGAUGAUGUGGCUACUUUUUAAACUAUGUGGCCUAAACAUGAUUACGUGUCAAUAAUCUGUCAUUUUUUUAGAAAUUUUUGAAGUGGUAUUUUAUCAUGUGUCACCAUCUGAUUGGCUAUAAUAUAAUAUGGAGUCAUUUGUGUCCAACCCUUGGACAGCACGGACUAAUUUGGACAAUUUAAAAACUCCAUGAAACGUUAGGGUACUUAUGGAACCAAAGGAAUUAGUAUUGUAUAAAGGCAAAUCACAAAGGACCAAAAAUGAUAUUU